rnacentral:rRNA from 1 species
CACGUAGGGUGCGAGCGUUGUCCGGAAUUAUUGGGCGUAAAGAGCUCGUAGGCGGUGUGUCGCGUCGGCCGUGAAAACCUGCAGCUUAACUGUGGGCGUGCGGUCGAUACGGGCAUCACUGGAGUUCGGCAGGGGAGACUGGAAUUCCUGGUGUAGCGGUGAAAUGCGCAGAUAUCAGGAGGAACACCGGUGGCGAAGGCGGGUCUCUGGACAGUUACUGACGCUGAGGCACGAAGGCUAGGGGGAGCAAACGGG